rnacentral:rRNA from 1 species
UACGUAGGGGUCGAGCGUUGUCCGGAGUUACUGGGCGUAAAGCGUGCGCAGGCGGCGCAUCGCGCCCGGCGUGAAAGCCCCCGGCUCAACCGGGGAGGGUCGUCGGGGACGGGUGCGCUUGAGGGUAUCAGGGGCAGGUAGAAUUCCCGGUGUAGUGGUGAAAUGCGUAGAGAUCGGGAGGAAUACCCGUGGCGAAGGCGGCCUGCUGGGAUACACCUGACGCUGAGACACGAAGGCGUGGGGAGCGAACGGG